rnacentral:rRNA from 1 species
UUCGCAAUGCCCGAAAGGGUGACAAUGCGACGCCGCGUGAGCGAUGAAGGCCUUCGGGUUGUAAAGCUCUGUCAGCUCGGAUGAAAGCAAACAGAUUAACACUCUGUUUGACUGACGGUACGAGCAGAGGAAGCCACGGCUAACUCUGUGCCAGCAGCCGCGGUAAUACAGAGGUGGCAAGCGUUGUUCGGAUUCACUGGGUGUAAAGGUCAUGUAGGCGUCUCAUUAAGUCGGAUGUGAAAUACCUUGGCUCAACUAAGGAACUGCAUUUGAUACUGGUGAGAUUGAGUAAGGGAGAGGUAAGCGGAAUUCCGGAAGUAAGGGUGAAAUCUGUAGAUAUCCGGAAGAACACCAUUAGCGAAGGCGGCUUACUAGCCCACUACUGACGCUGAAAUGAGAAAGCUAGGGGAGCAAACAGGAUUAGAUACCCUGGUAGUCCUAGCCGUAAACGAUGGGCACUAAGUAGAGGGGUUUU